ACACCAAUCCUGACUGUUGGAUCCAUUUUCUCCCUGAACACAAAAACCCUAAUUUUCACCCACUCUGCUCAUUAACCCUAAUACGCAGCUGGAACUGCUGCCGAGACAUUAACCAAACCCACCACCCGAAUUGGAGUCGGAUCUACACCGUAAAGAACCGUAAGUUCGCUGAUUCAAUUCUUCAUUUCAAUCAAUCUGCCAUUGCUCUAUGAGUAAAUGUUUUUGUAAUUUUGCAUUUUAAAUCGAUGACUGAAAUGAUACAAUUACUUUGAAAGUAAGACAAUGAGAAAAAUUAAAGAAUCAUAUGAAUCUGCAUUUGAUGUUACGUGUCUAUGUGAGUGUGAACGUGUUGGUUGAUAUGUACACAGUAUACAUGUGUGUCGUUGUGUUUAAAUCACUCCUAUGUGAUUUUUUUUUUUUUAAUUUGAAUGUUAAUACUGAAAUCUGAGAUGACUGAACAGAAUCUUACUACGCGUUUUAGGGAUCUGUAUACGAGUUUAGUAUUUGGGUUAUUGUAAUUUUAGCAAAGGAGAAUAGGUAAUCCUUUUCUAAAGUGGCCACUAUAUUUAUUUAUGUUUAGUGUUGAGAUGGAGAAGGGAGGGCUGAUUGUUCCGGAAUCUGUACUGAAGAAACAGAAGAGGAGUGAGGAAUGGGCUUUGGUGAAAAAGCAGGAA
rnacentral:lncRNA from 1 species